rnacentral:rRNA from 1 species
UUUCCGGUUGAUCCUGCCGCCGGCCACCGCUAUCAAGUUCCGACUAAGCCAUGCGAGUCAAGGUAUCGUAAGAUGCCGGCAAACUGCUCAGUAACACGUGGAUAAUCUAACCUUGAGUAAGGGAUAACCUCGGGAAACUGAGGAUAAUACCUUAUAAUUGCUUAAAACUGGAAUGUUUAAGCAAUAAAAGUUCAGACGCUCAAGGAUGAGUCUGCGACCUAUCAGGUAGUAGGUGGUGUAAUGGACCACCUAGCCUCAGACGGGUACGGGCCCUGGGAGGGGUAGCCCGGAGAUGGACUCUGAGACAUAAGUCCAGGCCCUACGGGGCGCAGCAGGCGCGAACACUGUGCAAUGCGCGAAAGCGCGACACGGGGAGCUUGAGUGUCUUGGCAUAGCCAGGACUUUUCUCAUUCCUAAAAAGCAUGAGGAAUAAGUGCUGGGUAAGACGGGUGCCAGCCGCCGCGGUAACACCCGCAGCACAAGUGGUGGUCACUUUUAUUGAGCCUAAAGCGUUCGUAGCCGGUUUUGUAAAUCUUUAGAUAAAGCCUGAAGCUUAACUCCAGAAAGUCUGAAGAGACUGCAAGACUUGAGAUCGGGUGAGGUUAAACGUACUUUCAGGGUAGGGGUAAAAUCCUGUAAUCCCGGAAGGACGACCAGUGGCGAAAGCGUUUAACUAGAACGAAUCUGACGGUAAGGAACGAAGGCUAGGGUAGCAAACCGGAUUAGAUACCCGGGUAGUCCUAGCUGUAAACACUGCCCAUUUGAUGUUGCUUUUCCGUUGAGGGAAGGCAGUGUCGGAGCGAAGGUGUUAAAUGGGCCGCUUGGGAAGUAUGGUCGCAAGACUGAAACUUAAAGGAAUUGGCGGGGGAGCACCGCAACGGGAGGAAUGUGCGGUUUAAUUGGAUUCAACGCCGGA